rnacentral:rRNA from 1 species
CCUACGGGAGGCAGCAGUGAGGAAUAUUGGUCAAUGGACGAGAGUCUGAACCAGCCAAGUAGCGUGAAGGAUGACUGCCCUAUGGGUUGGAAACUUCUUUUAUAUGGGAAUAAAAUGUUCCACGUGUGGGAUGUUGUAUGUACAAUAUGAAUAAGAAUCGGCUAACUCCGUGCCAUCCGCCGCGGUAAUACGGAGGUUCCGAGCGUUAACCGGAUUUAUUUGGUUUAAAGGGAGCGUAGGUGGAUUGUUAAGGCCGUUGUGAAAGUUUGCGGCUCAACCGUAAAAUUGCAGUUGAAACUGGCAGUCUUGAGUACAGUAGAGGUGGGCGGAAUUCGUGGUGUAGCGGUGAAAUGCUUAGAUAUCACGAAGAACUCCGAUUGCGAAGGCAGUUCACUGGACUGCAACUGACACUGAGGCUCGAAAGUGUGGGUAUCAAACAGGAUUAGAUACCCUUGUAGUC